rnacentral:lncRNA from 1 species
CCCCCACCUCCCCACUUUUAGGAACAUGGCCUCCCAGCUACAGACUACAUUUACCAGCAUCCCUUGAAGCUAAGUAUGUUCAUGUGAUGAGAUUCUGGGCAACGGAGGAGGAGUGGAAUUUAUAUGUCACUUCCUUGAAGACACCUGCCAUGAACUCUUUCUCCAGCAGCGCUGAGGAGUGCGACAUUCAGGAAAUGGCAAUGCGGCAGUAAGGAAGGAAUCUGUGCCCUUUAAUGACCUAGAGGAGUAGAUCCACUUCGCCACCUGGACCGGCCAGACUAAUGUGGCCCGGACUCUCAGCUGGACUGACAGGCAAAAUAUCUGUGUCCGUGUACGUUAUUCAUCUGUCACUGGGUCAAGGUCUCCGGGACAGACCCCCUACAGCUGGCGCUCCGUGUGAGGAAUGCUGCGAAGGAUCACGACGGACCCCCCAAAAUGAAGGAUACAAAGCUGGAAUAAGAGGAAUGACCACUUCGUCUGACAGACCUGUUGCUGCACACAUCUGUACCCUUCGGUCAACAGAACCCGAUGCAAAGAACAGAAAAGGGAGAGAUGUGGGAGUUCAGACAGGCUGGUGGCGUGUCCAGAAUUUAUUCCUUCCGGUGGGUUCUUGGUCUCGCUGACUUCAAGAAUGAAGCCGCAAACCUUUGCUGCCUAUAUCACCCAAACCUGAAAAGGGAAAGAAGGAUGUGAAGAAAAUAAUAUAGGAGGAAGAAGAAUGAAGAAACAGCGGGCAAGAAAAAGAAGAAGACUAGAAAGAGAAGAUGAAGCAGGAUAAAGUGGAGGAGAAAUAGCUUUACUGAAUGGAAGUAUGUCUGUUACUUCUGCUCUUCCAACAACAACAACAACAACAAAAAGCCCAAGGAUGCUGCUAAAUAUCUUAAAAGGUACAAGCAAAUAGUUAUGAUAGUUUUA